rnacentral:rRNA from 1 species
GACGAACGCUGGCGGCGUGCCUAAUACAUGCAAGUAGAACGCACAGUUUAUACCGUAGCUUGCUACACCAUAAACUGUGAGUUGCGAACGGGUGAGUAACGCGUAGGUAACCUGCCUGGUAGCGGGGGAUAACUAUUGGAAACGAUAGCUAAUACCGCAUAAUAUUGAUUAUUGCAUGAUAAUUGAUUGAAAGAUGCUAUUGCAUCACUACCAGAUGGACCUGCGUUGUAUUAGCUAGUAGGUGAGGUAACGGCUCACCUAGGCGACGAUACAUAGCCGACCUGAGAGGGUGAUCGGCCACACUGGGACUGAGACACGGCCCAGACUCCUACGGGAGGCAGCAGUAGGGAAUCUUCGGCAAUGGACGAAAGUCUGACCGAGCAACGCCGCGUGAGUGAAGAAGGUUUUCGGAUCGUAAAGCUCUGUUGUAAGAGAAGAACGGGUGUGAGAGUGGAAAGCUCACACUGUGACGGUAUCUUACCAGAAAGGGACGGCUAACUACGUG